rnacentral:rRNA from 1 species
GUUGUUUUUCCGAAAAUCAAUUAUAAAUGUUUUGUUUCUGAGGAGUGAUGACUUCAUCGGCUUCCUUCUCUCUUCACGAAACUUUUGUAAUGCACUUUUCGGUUAACAAGUCAACAUCAAUUUCUUUUGUUGUAAAAGAGUAUUCGGAAGGUGGCUUUCUUUUCGGAGAAAGUGUUUAUAGCCCUAUACUUCUACAAUCGGAGAGAUUGAGGUCUGCAGCGUAGAUCCUUCGGGGUUAGAUACACUUGUGCUAAGUUAUAGCUUUUCAUAGACAACUUGUUGACUAUGUUUAGUCUUGUAGCUUACUCGCUUGUGCUAUUUUACCUAC